UAGUCCACGCCGUAAACGAUGAGUGCUAGUUGUUGGGCCUUGAGCUCGGUGACGUAGUUAACGCGUUAAGCACUCCGCCUGGGGAGUACGGUCGCAAGAUUAAAACUCAAAGGAAUUGACGGGGACCCGCACAAGCGGUGGAGCAUGUGGUUUAAUUCGAGGCAACGCGAAGAACCUUACCAGUCCUUGACAUCCCGAUCGCGAUUAAUGGAGACAUUUUUCUUCAGUUCGGCUGGAUCGGUGACAGGUGCUGCAUGGUUGUCGUCAGCUCGUGUCGUGAGAUGUUGGGUUAAGUCCCGCAACGAGCGCAUCCCACGUAUUUAGUUGCCAUCAUUAAGUUGGGCACUCUAGAUAGACUGCCGGGGACAACUCGGAGGAAGGUGUGGAUGACGUCAAGUCAGCAUGCCCCUUACAUCCUGGGCUACACACGUACUACAAUGCUAUGGACAAAGAGCUGCAAGCCAGCGAUGGCAAGCUAAUCUCAUAAACC
rnacentral:rRNA from 1 species